ACAUGCCUACAACAGAGCAUUAAUACAUCGAAUCUCAUUAGAACUCCACAGUUAAGCAUGCUCAAGCUAGAGUAGUACUGGGAUGGGUGACCACCCAGGAAGUCCUAGUGUUCUACAUGCC
rnacentral:rRNA from 1 species